GUUCUCAUAGUGUAGUGGUUAUCACGGCGGCCUCACACGAUGAAGGGCCUCAGUUCGAUCCUGGGUGAGAACA
rnacentral:tRNA from 1 species